GAUCCACUUUUCAAACUGUCACCGUAUGGUGGCGUGCUUGGAACACCAAGCUAGAAAGUGGAUCGUUU
rnacentral:sRNA from 1 species